rnacentral:rRNA from 1 species
CGCCUGUUUUUACAAAAACAUGUCCUCUUGAGUAUAAUUUGAGGUCUGACCUGCUCACUGACAAGGUUUUAAAGAGCCGCGGUAUUUUGACCGUGCAAAGGUAGCAUAAUCAUUAGUCUCUUAAUUAGAGGCUGGAAUGAAUGGUUUGACGAGAAAUCAACUGUCUCUUAAUAAUUUUUAAAAUUUAACUUUUAAGUCAAAAGGCUUAAAUUUUUCUUUAGGACGAGAAGACCCUAUAGAGCUUGACAUUUUAUUUUUAUAUAGUUUUUAGCUAGUUUUUCUAUAUUUAAUGAUAAUGUUUUGUUGGGGUGACAUGAAGAAUAAAUAAACUCUUCAUUAUAAAAUCAUUGAUUUAUGUUUAUCAUGAUCCAUAAUUUAUGAUCAUAAGAUUAAGUUACCUUAGGGAUAACAGCGUAAUUGUUUUUGAGAGCUCAUAUUGACAAAACAGAUUGCGACCUCGAUGUUGGAUUAAGAAAAAUUUUGGGUGCAGGAGCUCAAUAAUUAGGUGCUCUGCGACAUACCGAA